AACUAUGGUCAGAGCAUGAGCUAUGAGCCUCCUAGGGACCAUAGUUACAGAUAUCACUAUGGCCAGAGCAUGAUCCAUGAGCCUCCCCAAGGAGACUCUGGUUUCAGAAAUAAUCACACUCGUCCUAUCGGUCCAGAAUUCAGACCUGAGAUGCCACCACCAGGUCAACCACAAGGAGACUCUAGUUUCAGAAAUAAUCACACUCGUCCUAUCGGUCCAGAAUUCAGACCUGAGGUGCCACCACCAGGUCAACCACCGGUUUAUGCGACUCACAGCUACAAUAGCUAUCAGCCAUCACCCUAUGUGACUGGAUAUGAAUACAUCAGGUCACCACCAAGAUACACACAAUAUACUAGGCCAGAGCAUUACUCUGAGGAC
rnacentral:lncRNA from 1 species